CAGUCGCCGCGGGAAUACAGAGGGUGCGAGCGUUAAUCGGAUUUACUGGGCGUAAAGCGUGCGUAGGCGGCUAAUUGAGUCGGAUGUGAAAUCCCCGAGCUUAACUUGGGAAUUGCAUUCGAUACUGGUUAGCUAGAGUGUGGGAGAGGAUGGUAGAAUUCCAGGUGUAGCGGUGAAAUGCGUAGAGAUCGGGAGGAACAUCAGUGGCGAAGGCGGCCAUCUGGGACAACACUGACGCUGAGGCACGAAAGCGUGGGGAGCAAACAGGAUUAGAUACCCCAGUAGUCCCUGUCUCUUAUAC
rnacentral:rRNA from 1 species